rnacentral:rRNA from 1 species
AAAACGACUCUCGGCAACGGAUAUCUCGGCUCUCGCAUCGAUGAAGAACGUAGCGAAAUGCGAUACUUGGUGUGAAUUGCAGAAUCCCGUGAACCAUCGAGUCUUUGAACGCAAGUUGCGCCCCAAGCCUUCUCUGGCCGAGGGCACGCCUGCCGGGUGUCACAA